UACAGAGGGUGCGAGCGUUAAUCGGAAUUACUGGGCGUAAAGCGCACGUAGGUGGCGACGUAAGUCGGGUGUGAAAGCCCCGGGCUCAACCUGGGAAUUGCAUUCGAGACUGCAUUGCUGGAGUACGGAAGAGGAAGGCGGAAUUCCCGGUGUAAGCGGUGAAAUGCGUAGAUAUCGGGAGGAACAUCAGUGGCGAAGGCGGCCUUCUGGCCAGUACUGACACUCAAGUGCGGAAAGCGUGGGGAGCAAACAGGAUUGAGAU
rnacentral:rRNA from 1 species